GUGAGCCGGGCACGGGGGAGCCCCGCAGGUGCGGAGGCGGCUCGGGGACGCCGCGAGGGCUCCUCGGCCACCUGUGGAGCCGCUCCCGCCUCCGCCGGGCGGCUCCGGGGAGCGCUCGGGGACGGGGCCGCUCUCGCCGGCCCUGGGGCAGCCGGAGCGAACCGGGGAGAGCCCGAGCGGAGCCGGAGCGGCCGCGGAUCAGCACCACGGACAGCGCCCGGCGGGGCCGCACCGGGAACCGGCACCGCGGGCAGGACUCUCCCGGGACAUCUCCGCCCACCGGAGGCACCGAGGCGGCGCUGGAUGCUCGCCGGGCCGGAUCUCAUAGAUGGAUCCAACCCAGAGGUCUCUGAAGAACAGGGGACUCAGGUUCUCAGCCAGCGCUGACGACGGCGGGCUCAGAGCUCUGGGCAGGUUCUGUGUGACCUCAGGAGGGGCUGCACAGGCAGGAAUGAAGCCCCGUUCCCUGGGAGGAAUCCCCAGGGUCCCAGCAGGAUGCAUUAACAGCACGUCUCUCCAGUGAGCCGUGAUGGGAACAGCACGGAGCAAAAAAAAAAAGAGAAGCGGAGGAGCGAUCUCUCGGAGGAUCCUGGCUGGCAGCAGCAUCACCAUCUGACUGAAGAGAGAACUCAGCCACACGCAUAAUCCUGGGGAAAAUUCAUCUCCACCCUCCCGCAGACCCCGGUAUUGUCGCUCAGGGAUGGAGUGAGCUGGACCUAAUGCCCCGUGGGGGAAAUUGGAGCGACUAAAUCUGUGUUCGCUGGUGGAGACGAGGCUUUGCCACUUCCAAGGCAGGAAACUCGUACUUUAAAAUGCACCACCAGAGCGGUGCAGGGCCGCAGACUGGCCUGCGUCAUCCAUGUGGCUCCGUUACAGCUCAGGACAUUAUGGCUUCAUAAAACCUGCAAUUAAACCACGUCACAUUAAUGCUGUGCAGCCGCUGUGUUUUGAAGUGCCAUAACAUCAAGGGAUUUAAGAGAAAUAAAACCGCUAUGAAAGCAGCACACGCUGGGAGUCUCAAACACACGGGAACAGCGCCUGGGCCGCGCGGGGCGCGCUGGGAAGUGUAGUCCUGGCUCUGGUACAAUCCCGUGAGCGGCGCUACCGCAGCGGGCCGAGAAAACUACGCU